UGUGUUUGUAUUUACUUAUUGUAUGGUGAUGGCAAGAAGCAGAAAAAUUUUGAAAUACUGGUUUCUUAUCGCUGUUUUAGUAGUUAUUUUCAUUGCUGAAAUCGUACCCCAUUUAACUGCUGACGGCGGUUUACCGUGGCCCGACACCAGCGCGAAGUAUGGAACAGUACCAAUCGUAUUUCUUUUAAGUGGCUUAACUCUUCCAACCGAUAAUCUGUUGACUGCUGCCAAACAGUAUGAUUUACAUUUCGUCACCCAGUGUUUUUCACUUUUAUUUACUCCACUCUUCGUCAAACUUUUGACUGUUGUUCUUGCGCCAACUGGUGUGGAUGAUUGGAUUAUGAAAGGUUUUAUCAUUUCUAGCAGUAUGCCUGUCUCAUCGUCAUCCGUCGUGGCUACUAUUUGUGCAGACGGCAACGAGGCAGCUGCAAUAGUAAACUGUAUUGUAGGUGCACUUCUUGGAAUGAUAACGACGCCACUUAUAUUGUUGAUACUGAUAAGAUCAGCAGCAGUGGUUUCACCUGUCAAAUCAUUGCAUGACCUAAUUCUCACUGUGGGCAUACCACUGCUUGUUGGGCAAAUUGUUCGCAAAGUAACCGGAAUGAGACUGCAACACAGUAUUGCAUUGAAGAUUAGACAGUUGGCGUUACUGAUGACUGUGUUUAUAACCUUUUGUGACAUAUUUAUGUCACAUCUAGAUGUAGAAUUACAGCCCAUUAAUGUACUAGUUUCAGUUUUCUCAGUGGUAAUUCUACAAAUGACAUUGCUACUUCUCAUUUUUUGGACAACCAGAUAUCUGCCAUCAAAGUUUUCACUACAGGACACAAAGGCAAUUAUGUUCUGUUCAACACACAAGUCUCUCUCCCUUGGAAUUCCGAUUCUAAGGACAAUGUACUCUGGUUACGGGCACCUUUAUAGUGCAUCACUGCCAUUGUUGCUGUACUAUCCAAGUCAAAUCAUACUGGGAGAACUGCUUGGACAGCACAUGAAAAACUGGGUGAAUUGGGAUUCUGGACAUGAUAAGUAACAAAAUGAAGUCUCAUGUUGCAUCUGGAUGAAUAUAUUCAAUGAAGAUGCAAAUUUACCUCCAUCAUCACGCAGAAAGACGCAGGAGAAAUGAUUAACCAUAAGAAUGUUGUUUCAGAUGGACCUCCUCCAAGCUCGCACUACAACAUACAUCAGUUUAUCAAUGACACUCUGCCUCAACGCUGGACAGGGUGCACGGAUCCCAAGACACGGCCUGCAUUCUUGGCCUCCAAGAUCACCAGACACGACUCCAUGUAAUAUUUUCUUGUGGGGAUAUGUGAAGCAAAGUAUGUUCAUCUCCCCUUUACGUUAUGACAUAGAAAUAGUGCAGAACAAAAUAACAGCCGCUACAACUUCUGUAAAAGCAGAUACGUUGCGUAAGCUAUUGUCUACAGGUUGUUUGUGCUGCUACUAGUGAACACAUUGGGCAUUUGUAACAGCAUAGCUAAAACGUAAAGGUUAUUUUGCAAUUCAUCCAUGUUUGUAGCACAUUUUUAUAAAUAAAUAUCUCUGUGCAUGCACCUGUAUUACAUUUACGUCAGCAAACACUGCAAAACAGUAGACAGUUUAAAACAUGCAAUUCUUCAGUUGUUGUUGUGGUCUUCAGUCCUGAGACUGGUUUGAUACAGCUCUCCAUGCUACUCUAUCCUGUGCAAGCCUGUCCAUCUCCCAGUACCUACUGCAGCCUACAUCCUUCUGAAUCUGCUUAGUGUAUUCAUCUCUUGGUCUCCCCCUACGAUUUUUACCCUCCACGCUGCCCUCCAGUACUAAAUUGGUGAUCCCUUGAUGCCUCAGAACAUGUCCUACCAACCAAUCCCUUCUUCUAGUCAAGUUGUGCCACAAUUCUAUUCAAUACCUCCUCAUUAGUUAUGUGAUCUACCCAUCUAAUCUUCAGCAUUCUUCUGUAGCACCACAUUUCGAAAGCUUCUAUUCUCUUCUUGUCUAAAUUAUUUAUCGGCCAUGUUUCACUUCCAUACAUGGCUACACUCCUUCAGGAGAUUACAAAAUGUAUUGUAUCACUGAAAAGUGCUAAUUUCUCUGGCUAUGACAAUAUUAAAUCUCCCAUGCCUGAUCUUCCAGUUACCCACCACCUACCAAGGUCUCACCAUACAGCCCUCAUAACUCAGUAUUACCCAGGACUGGAGCAACUGAAUUACGUUCCCUGCCACGAUUUGACUACCUCUCAUUGUGCCCUUCAAUAAGCAAUGUCCUGCCCACUAUCCUUCCCACCCCUCCCAUAGUGGUAUUCCACCGUACACCCAACCCACAAAAUACACUCGUCCAUCCCUACACAACCCCUGCUCCCAAUCCCUUACCUAAUGGCUGAUAUCCUUGUAAUAGAUUUAGAUGCAAGACCUGUCCCAUACAUCCUCCCCCCACCAUCACAACUUUCCCAUCAAAGGCAGGGAUAUCUGUGAAACCAGUCAUGUGGUCUACAAGCUAAGCUAAGCUACCACUGUGCUGCAUUCUAUGUCAGCAUGAGAACCAAUAAGCUGUCUGUCCGCAUGAAUGGCCACUGAUAAACAGUGGCCAAGAAACAACUGGAUCACCAUGUUGCUGAGAAAACCAUCCAACACGACAUUCUUAAUUUCAAUGACUGCUUCACAGUCUGUGCCAUAUUCAUCCUUCCACCAACAUCAGCUUUUCUGAACUGCACAGGUGUCUGAAAUAUGUUCUACGUUCGCAUAACCCUCCUGGCCUCAACUUUCGUUUGUCAUAGUCCUCAACCAUGUAGAUCCUUUGUUGUUCCCAUUCCAGCACUACACAGCCCUCUAAUCCACCAACACACCUAGUCUUUUUACUUCUCCCCUUUUCCGC